rnacentral:RNase_MRP_RNA from 2 species
UCCAUGGUCGAAGAAUCGUCACUAAUCGAAGCUUGCAAACUGGGCUCAGUCCCAUGAUAAGCUUUGGGUUGAAAGUCUCCCACCAGGUCGUAUGCGGAAAACGCAAUGAGAUUUAAAAAUCUUAAAAUUGUUUAAAUCCACUCAUUAGAGUUGAGAGAGGUUAUGGGCUUCGGCUUGUGCCUCUCUUUGCUUUCCUGUCCCCCGGGAUCCUGGCGGUUCCGGUGGUGUCUUCGGUAAUGGAAUCGAAUGUUUGGAUUCCAAAACAUAGUUAUGACGAUUGUCGUGCUGUUGCUUGCAACUGCGCGGUAACCCAAUGGAGCUUACUUUUCUUGGCUCAUGG